rnacentral:lncRNA from 1 species
CAGAAAUACCGCAAAAUUAAAGCCAAUUAGAUAAACUGAAAACAAAAGGGUAAAAUUUUGAAGCAGAAUCAAAAAGGAUGCCUGAGAAAAAUAGAACAGUGAACGAAAAAAAUGUGCGGAGAAUUUGAGAGAGAUAAGGAUAGAAAACGUCAGAUAAAGGUGGCUGUAUCGUGCUUCAGCUGAUGUUUGGCCACCAUCUAUUCAUCGUCGACAACAGUAGAGAACCAGACUUCAAAAAAUUUUAUGCUUUUAGCCUCCAUUGUUUUUUGGUGGAGAGAGCUGGGAGGAGACAUGGAAGAAUUUUUGCCAAGAAAUGGGUGUGGAAUGAAGAAAAUCAAUGGAAGGAAGGAAGUGGAACUUUCUUGAAGACAUGAGUAUUGCCCAUGCCUACCAAGGGCCCAACAUUUUGAAUUCUGAAGUCGUUUUGUUCGUGUCUAAUAUUGCAUCCACAGCGACCCUAAAAAACUAUAAAGGUUUAGAAUAGAUAUAAGUUCACAAACACAUAAGCACAAUUCCAACAUUAAAAAAUAGUGACAAAACGUAGAACAAUAUUUAUUGCCUCCCUAGACUUAUUGAAACCGAGCAAAUAUGUCCAUUUCUUCCACUUCCUUUAAAUACACUUACAAAAUCAAAACCAAGCAUAUGCCUUAUUUGUUCAUCAUUUCAUAUCCAUCGUCCUACUUCCUACUCCUCCAUUCCUUUACUUUCAAAUCCCACCAACAACAAUGAGUCAACAUAUAAAGCAAUCCAUUAUAGGCCCUUAAACAUACAUUCCCUAUUCCAUAAAUUUCAAGCCAGAUAAACCAAUUUAAAUUCAAACAAAAAGAUGUUGCUCGAACAUAACUUUUAAGAAGAGUUCCCAAAUCAUCUUAAACCAUAUUAAGUCUUCCUAAGACAUGAAAUAAUGAAUAAAAUCUGUUAAUAGAAAUUCACAUGCACAAUUUUUUUUUCAAUAGCUAUUUGACUUAAUUCAUCCACUUUAUGUCAAUGUCUAACCCAUUCAUCAAUUUUAGUGCUUUAUCAAAAUUGGGUUAUCAUGAGUUCUUACUUUUCUUUCCCUCAACUAUGGAAAAUGAGGAGUGUGUGAAGAGGCAAUUAUCAAGAACCUGAAAAUAAACUGGCGAUUAACAAUACAUGGAAAUAUAACAUAUACAAAAAGAAAAAAAGUAAAGAAAAGGAAGAACAAUAUGCAUUAGGAGCAAAAUUAAAUAUUCAUUUUCUUUUUAAGUAAGCAGAAUAAUAAAAGUCUAACACCUUAAGAAGAAGAAGAAGAAGAAGAGGAGGAGGAGGAGGAGGAGAUAGAGGUAAAUCAACAAGAAGAAGGCAACAUCAAUGAACUUGGACGGAAAAUAACCUUUAUAAUGGUGAUUCCCCA